AAGUCAAGGCUCAUGUUUGGGGGAUUGGAGAGCUAUAUUCACUCUGGGGUUUGCUAUAAUCACUAUACUCCCUUGGAGUACAACACUUGCUCUUGUAAGAGCAACCUGCUUUGCUCUCUGGACUUGGAGAGGUCUAUCCACUGGAAGCUGGAUCCUGGUCUUGGAGCCAGGGUGGGUGGAGGACAGCAAGACCCCAACCAAGCUGCGGUGGUUUGUGG